rnacentral:lncRNA from 1 species
GAAAAGGUUUUACGUGACGUCUAUUGUACAGAUUCAUAUGAAAACCAUAGUUCAAACUCCAAGGUUUAAGAAGUAAGAAAGAUCAUGCCAUUUGCAACAAACAUGCAUGCAUAUUUGAAAAGCAACUGUAAGUAUGCUAUUGGACAUUGGUAAAGAUUGAAUAUCUGACCAUGGCAUAUCAAGAAACCAUGGAAUGAGUACUGCUUAUCAAGAUCUGGGUGUGAGAAGACUUAAAAAGUCAGAUAGUCAGUGAGAACCAGCUAGAAUCCAUGUGAAAAAGUGGGAAGAUGAAGUGUUUGGAGGGCUUUUAAAUGGAGUAAAAUGGAAACAAAGACAAGUUAUCCCAACACCAAAAAGAGUAGGGGAUAGAAGGAUAUGUCAAGGUUUGAAAACCAUCCUUCAGAAAUGCAGGAAAGUCAAAGCUAGAAAUCUGUUGUGGGAAAACUAGAAGACCAAAAAAAGCACGAAAGUCAAGAAAGAAGUCUCUUUUCACAUGAAAGUGGCCUGAAGACAAAUACUGCUAUGAAUGGUUACAUCUAGGACUUCUGAAAUUAGCCCCAGAUUCAACUCAUUUUUUUCUGCAUUUGCUGAGCAAUAUGACAUGUUUACACCGAUUAGCUAAAAAGUUAUGUGAAGAAUGGGCAACAAUAUCUCUAAGGCAAGAUAUGUUCAGAUCCAAUAUAGUUCAUAUAGACCUUGUCAGAGUAAAUGACCAUGUGCCUUUCAGAACACUAAAGAAUAAAAUCCUUCCACAUUAGAAUGACAAA